rnacentral:rRNA from 1 species
UACGUAGGGGGCAAGCGUUGUCCGGAUUUAUUGGGCGUAAAGAGCGUGUAGGCGGCCAGACAGGUCCGUUGUGAAAACUCGAGGCUCAACCUCGAGAUGUCGAUGGAAACCGUCUGGCUAGAGUCCGGAAGAGGAGUGUGGAAUUCCUGGUGUAGCGGUGAAAUGCGCAGGAUAUCAGGAAGAACACCAGUGGCGAAGGCGAGUCCCUGGACAACACCUGACACUGAGGCACGAAAGCUAGGGGAGCAAACAGG